CAAAAAUGGAAUUUAUAACUCAGUGAUAUUUCCCUGCUUAUUGUGCAAGAGGAGGAGAAGAGUUAUGUGAUAAAUUAACUGUAAAAAGGAGUGGUAACUUGCUUCAUAAGUGUUUCUUGGGCAGAAGUUACCAAAUUGUACUGAAUUAUACUGAGCUGUGGUGGUCUGGAGAUAGCAAUAAACUAAAUGAAAUGUACCCUAUGGCUUCUGCUGACAUCUGUGGGAGAGGUGAAAUCACAGGUACAAAUCAGAGCCUUUGUGAAGAAGAAAUGGUGAUAGAACAGAGUGCUUGGGCCUGUAGAGACUACUGCCUCCUUCUCUUUAUAGCAGACAAAUAUAACUGAAAUGGACUUUCAGAAAGGACCUAAGCCAUGAUUUUUAACUUUCAGUCCUCUCUGAAUAAAUUACUGCUUAUGAUCAGCUUCAUUA